UUUGGCUCCGUCAUUUAGUCUAUUGAUAACCGACAUGAAGGGAGAAGAUGAUCUGCAGGAUCCUUCUGCUCAUCAGCCUGACCUCCUGUGUCUCUGGAACAUUUGAAGUGAAAGUGAAACAGAGCUCCUAUCAGGCAGAGGAGAACCACA